rnacentral:rRNA from 1 species
GGGGAAUAUUGGACAAUGGGCGAAAGCCUGAUCCAGCCAUGCCGCGUGUGUGAAGAAGGUCUUCGGAUUGUAAAGCACUUUAAGUUGGGAGGAAGGGCAUUAACCUAAUACGUUAGUGUUUUGACGUUACCGACAGAAUAAGCACCGGCUAACUUCGUGCCAGCAGCCGCGGUAAUACGAAUGGUGCAAGCGUUAAUCGGAAUUACUGGGCGUAAAGCGCGCGUAGGUGGUUCGUUAAGUUGGAUGUGAAAGCCCCGGGCUCAACCUAGGAACUGCAUCCAAAACUGGCGAGCUAGAGUACGGUAGAGGGUGGUGGAAUUUCCUGUGUAGCGGUGAAAUGCGUAGAUAUAGGAAGGAACAUCAGUGGCGAAGGCGACCACCUGGACUGAUACUGACACUGAGGUGCGAAAGCGUGGGGAGCAAACA